AAUCGUUGUUACAAACGGUUAUAUUGAAACAUUGUCAUCUGCGUAAACGCGCUACGUUCCAACUGGAAUCGUCAACCGUUCUUCAACACGAAGUCCCAAUACGUGAUUUUAUAGAACACUAUAAGCCUUUGGUCGAUCUCCGUGCGUUCUAUCAAAAGUUUGUUUUUGGUUUAAAAAGAUGCUAAAAUAGAUCAGUAACUAAAAACAGAACGUAAAUAGUUAAAACCCAUUAUCAACAUACUGUUAUUCUUGUUCCGGACGCAACAAGAAUAAAAAUAGAAUAUCGUUAGGAGAGCCACUACCUCGCUCACUGCAUCACAGGUGCAACACUGGGUUUGAAUAUGAUGAUAGUAGGAAUCCGCAGAAAGUUCCACAUACGCAAGAAGAUGUCAACAAAACUAAAAUAAAA